rnacentral:rRNA from 1 species
UGGGGAAUAUUGCACAAUGGGCGCAAGCCUGAUGCAGCCAUGCCGCGUGUAUGAAGAAGGCCUUCGGGUUGUAAAGUACUUUCAGCGGGGAGGAAGGCGAUAAGGUUAAUAACCUUGUCGAUUGACGUUACCCGCAGAAGAAGCACCGGCUAACUCCGUGCCAGCAGCCGCGGUAAUACGGAGGGUGCAAGCGUUAAUCGGAAUUACUGGGCGUAAAGCGCACGCAGGCGGUCUGUCAAGUCGGAUGUGAAAUCCCCGGGCUCAACCUGGGAACGGCAUUCGAAACUGGCAGGCUAGAGUCUUGUAGAGGGGGGUAGAAUUCCAGGUGUAGCGGUGAAAUGCGUAGAGAUCUGGAGGAAUACCGGUGGCGAAGGCGGCCCCCUGGACAAAGACUGACGCUCAGGUGCGAAAGCGUGGGGAGCAAACA